UUAAAUAAAAAGUAGAUUAAAAAAUAAUUUUAAAUGGUGAAUCUAUUUCAUAAACUUCUUUUUGCUUUGUUUCAGAUUACUAACACAUUCUUAUAAUAAAGAUUUCUCAAUCUAUAUAAUAUCACAUGGCUAACAUUUAUAACAGAAUAAGCAACAGUUUGGGGGGGUGUUUAGUUAUGGGGCUAGAAAAUUUCCUACUUUGGUUCUAGUGAACCUGGGCCUCUAAUGAACAGAGGGAGCUGGCAGAGUUCUAACUUAAAACAGAAAUUCUCAAAACUCCCAAAGAAAAGAAGAUGCAAAGGAAAACUGUUCCCCAGGAGUUUAAGGUUACACAAACCAGCUCAGCUUCAACUAAGACAAGUGAAUAUCCACAGCAGGGGAGACUUCCAGUCAUACCAAUGGAACACAUCACACGCUAGCCUAAGAAAACCUGUUACCAGUUUGGCCUUAUGGUCUCCAGUAUGAGGGAGAUAACGAAAAGGCUGAAGUCAUCUUAUGACUUGAGGCUGUCAAGUACUUCAAAUGAGGGGGAAAGGUGCUUGACCCCAAAGCCUCUGAACCCGGUUAUUUUGAGCUAAAGUUGCUUGGAAACAAAAAUACCCAAGAAAUGGAUCACAAGGAGAGUCUGGGUGAGAGAGUUGAAGUAGUUAUCAGUCAAUGUAGAUAAAGUGUCAAAUUGCAAAGUGUUUCAAAAACAAAGUUUCAAGGUUGUUUAGGGCAGUGUUCUAACUUGACAAUUAAGUCUCAUUUUUACUGGAUACUUUAUUCCACUAGCUGGUAAGGUAAGGUAUUACACUUUGAUUGAUAGUCUUCUGAAGGUCUUGGGGCCGAAGAUAUUUUUUUGUUUUAUACUCGUGAAAAGAUUAAUAGCAACUUACUCUUCUUACCUAAUAUAAAAAUGCACCUUUGCUAGUGAACUGAUAUGGCCCUCAAGAGGAGAAAAGCUUUUCUUCACAGUUACAGUUCUUUGGCUACAUGGACAUCUCUGAAAAUGAGCUUUAAAACUGAGAUGAACACUUUAUUGUCUCAUCCCUACUAUAUUUAAAAUCUGUGUCCACUUUUGAAAGUCAUGUGCUAAAUCCUUAGUCUUUUUUUUCCCCAGCAGAUGAUCUAAAUAAGAGCCUGAUUUCAUUUACAUACACACUCACUUGCACUCCCCAACAACACUUCCUUUGAAAAACAGAAUGUCACUUCCUCAAUCCAGAGGCCAGAAGUCCCUUGGUUCUGAUCUGGGGAGCCAAGACAGGAAACUCUGAACCUCCAAGCAUGGUGCCAGGCACAAAAUAGAUGUUCAGUAAACGUUUGAGAAUGAAGGAACCAACCCUUAAAGGAUGACAAGAGCUGUGGACCCUGGGGCAUCCAGAACUCUGGAUCAUCCACACCAGUAUCUGAGAGGGUACCUGUAAGCAGUUGAAGCGCUGAAACUCAGAGAGACUGGCCUGAUAGGAGGGGCUGAGCAGCUGGAGGGGAUCAAGAAGCUUGAAAAGCAAAGAAGUCAUCACCCUCCUAUUGCACCUUAUUUAUCAGGAACUCCUCAUCUAAAUAAUUUCCUGACCAACAAAUAUUCUGAAAUAAUAUGUAAGUGUGACAAAAAGGUAAUGAGACAAAGAAUAACAAGAUUUUUUUUUUCUCUAUUAGUGUACUAGUGUCUUCUUUUAG